AGGAGUGUGGUGUAAUGGUAACACAACGGUCUCCAAAACCGUAGACGUGAGUUCAAUUCUUACCACUCCUGCCA
rnacentral:tRNA from 1 species